AGGUACUGACUCUUCCUAUCCGGACGACUUGAGUACUUUCAUCUUCUUCUUCUGGAGAAUCUCAGGUUGGCCUGGCAGUCUCUUCAUAAGAAAUUCGAAGACCAUUUGUCUAUUCGCUCUUCGUAUCUUCCUGCACUUGUCUACCACAUACAGUCCGUCGUAUGUGAGGGUGUCAUUCUUAUCCUUACGGAUCACUCUCACUGGCCUGUUCCUCUUCAUGCUGUUCAUUAGAGCUAAAUUCCCUCGAGUGAGCUUCUGAUCUUCAGCCUUCUUGUCAUGACCAGGCAUUCCACCCUGGCCCAAAUAAACCAGCUCUUCAGGAUGUGUCAGAUCAUCUGCAUAAUCCCAGGAAGCGACAACACUUGUGGCUAGGAUGUCUGGGUGAGGUCCCAUGUAAUCAAUACCAUUCUGAGGAGGGCGAUGGAGCCCGACAACAGCGAGUUCCAUCCUAUAAUAGAAUUUGUCUCCCACUUCCACUCCUGGAACAUCUCCAAUAAAUUGCAUGGCGUCGUGGACGUAUCCUACUCUUUUCUUGAUCUCUUUCGCAGCAUGAAAAUCUAUCCUUCUAAUGCACAUGCUCUUUUUACCUGCUUUUGAUUUAUCCCGGGAGAGCUCGCGACAAAUAUCUCUGUAGAGCCUUAGAGUUGCAAUCACUCUCUUUCUGGCUGAAUCAUGUCUGUCAUUGCGAGUGACAUUCGCAUUUCUGAGCUCAGAACAGGGAGGGCUUGCUAUCCCACUAUCUGAUUUUGGAACAGCAUGCAAACUUUCCAGACCAUCUGGUGUGCUUUCCUCUAAGUAGUUCCCGAUGUAGCACCUGUCAAGAGACGUCCUCUUAGAACCUUUGUUCUUCAUAACAGGGGAUGCACCAGGAGAGCAUUGAACAAUUUUCUCGGCCUCUUUGAUUGUUAUUUGGGUGUCUCUAUUUGAUCCGUUGACGUUGUUGCAAUGAUUGUAAAGGGAGUUCUCUUUUCUAAGGUAUUCCUUAUUAAUUGUCCUCAUGGAAGAUGUUUGAACUUUUAGUUGUGAUUGUGACCCUGCUUCCUUAGCACCAACACCUUGACCAUCAGCAUGAUCUUUGUUCCUGCGCCAUUUGAAGACAUGUGCAGUUGCCAAGCUCUUGAUUGAAGAAUCACAAGAUUUGUCAGGAAUGAAUUCUUCUAUGAGGUCUUUUACUCGGGCAUGACUUCCGCAUCCUGGAGGGAAAUCUCUACAAGUCAACAAGCACUUCUCAGGGCGAGGAUCUCUAGUCAUAUUCUUCAUCAAAAUACUGCUCUUAGAGCCAUCAAAAGAAUGUUCUUGCUUCAAAUUGGCUGUCUUGGAAGGAAAUAGUGCUUGCUGAUGCUGUGCAAGGCUAGGAAGAGGGGAGUGACUUCUGCAUCCUGCGGGUAAACAUGACAUACUCUUUUCCAGAGUAGAUUGUCCGAUGCUUUUCAUCACAGUAUUGCUUCUGCAGUCAACAGAACCUGAUUGAGACUGCAAAAUAUAUGUGUAACCGGAAGAAGAUCCUAAAGCUGGAAAAACAGUUCUGACAGAAGAAACAUCCGCAGGCAUGGCCUUCUUUGACAUCUCUAGAGUCUUGUGAUUUAUCUUCUUCUCUUUAUGUUCUCCCAUGAGAAUACCAAUAGAAUGCUGUUAAAAAAAAAAAAAACAGAAUAAGUCACCAUAAUAGCACCACUUUUUUGUAAUUUUUAAUGUUAUCACCUAAUUUGUGUA